UACGGGGGGAGCAAGCGUUGUUCGGAUUUACUGGGCGUAAAGGGCGCGUAGGCGGCCAGCACAAGUCAGUUGUGAAAUCUCCGAGCUUAACUCGGAACGGUCAACUGAUACUGUGCGGCUAGAGUGCGGAAGGGGCAACUGGAAUUCUUGGUGUAGCGGUGAAAUGCGUAGAUAUCAGGAAGAACACCAAUGGCGAAGGCAGCUCUCUGGGACGGUACUGACGCUGAGACGCGAAAGCGUGGGGAGCGAACAGG
rnacentral:rRNA from 1 species